UCUAAACUUUGUUGUUUAUGAGUCUUUGAAAGAUUGGUUAGUUAAAUCCAAUCCAUUUGGUCUAGUGCAAGAUUCUGAGUUGAGUGUGACAACUCGCCUGGCAUGUGGUGCUGCACCUGGAACUGUUGGGCAAACUGUUGCUUAUCCCCUUUGAAGCACCUUUAGAUUGAAGUGCAUACUCGUGGUUGAAGUUAGAUAUUGAGAAUGUUGUGGUUGUCCACUGUAAGGCUGGAACGAACAAGGUUGAUGAUUUCUAGUCUUCUAUUAUUCUUGAAGUUCUUUCCAAUUGCUGAGGAGUCAAUGGAUUACUAUAAUCAGAAAUGAUGUGUUGAUGGAAAAGGACUUGUUCUGCCCAGUCAGAUUGGAAGCUGUGAAACAUUUUGAUCCUGGUCCUAGUGUUCCUCACAGCCAUACCAAGCCUUAUGUACGAUCUAAGGGAAGGAAGUUUAAGAGGGCUAGAGGAAGAAAGAACAACAAAGGACUUAGUGUUUAAGUUGUAUUGUUUCUGUAUUUUUCUACCAUUUUUAGUUUUGGAAUUUGAACUUGAAAUUUAUUUUGUAUUUGAAUAUUAGUUUAUUACUGUAUAAAAUAAUUAAAGCA